GGAUGUAAAAUUCUCAGAGGCAAUGAGCUCAAGGCUUUUGAACUGCCUAUUCUUUUCCUUGUUAAUAAUUUCACGCACCUCAGGAUCCGCUUCACUGAGGCCAUAGUCUAUAAAGCUGCUCCUUUCACCUGCACUUUCAGGCACAGGGACAGACACAGAAGAGGGUGGCCUCCCAGUGACCAAGCUACCUUUAAUACUAAAAUAUCUACAAGGCGUCAACGAAUUGACCUCAAUCUGAUGUGGAAACCCAGUAACACUGAACCUUUUUGGAGGGAAGGAUGAUCCCUUGGUCCAAAGGGGCUGUUGUAAAGAACCCAUCACUGCAGCUCCAGUGCACGCCUGCAUUCUCGCUUCAAAUAUUACACAGAGAAAAUUUUCUUCCUUUAAUCUGGAGGAUUGGGAAACAGUAUCUGUGUACAGCAACAAAGCUCCAGAGAAAAAGAGCUUAAACCCUAGUGUUGCCUGAAAAGAGUGAGCCGCGCCCCCCAGAUAUUAUUUUUUUGCAGUGGAAUUUGGGGAAUGGAGACUCCAACCCGGAUCCUGUCGCCACGCCCGUUAGAUAUUAGAAAUUGAAUACCAGAUAACCUCAGAUGUCCGUGCAGGAAAUGGAAAAAUUCUCGGUCUCGGCCUGUUU
rnacentral:misc_RNA from 1 species